rnacentral:rRNA from 1 species
CCUACGGGUGACAGCAGUAGGGAAUAUUGCUCAAUGGGGGAAACCCUGAAGCAGCAACGCCGCGUGGAGGAUGAAGGUUUUCGGAUUGUAAACUCCUUUUGUUAGAGAAGAUAAUGACGGUAUCUAACGAAUAAGCACCGGCUAACUCCGUGCCAGCAGCCGCGGUAAUACGGAGGGUGCAAGCGUUACUCGGAAUCACUGGGCGUAAAGAGCGCGUAGGCGGGAUAGCAAGUCAGAUGUGAAAUCCUAUGGCUUAACCAUAGAACUGCAUGUGAAACUGUUAUUCUAGAGUAUGGGAGAGGUAGGUGGAAUUCUUGGUGUAGGGGUAAAAUGCGUAGAGAUCAAGAGGAAGACUCAUUGCGAAGGCGACCUGCUAGAACAUAACUGACGCUGAUGCGCGAAAGCGUGGGGAGCAAACAGGAUUAGAUACCCUAGUAGUC